UGGUUUUCCGUGCUGCCUUUAAGCGCUCAGUAAACACAACUCUGCCCGAGUCGGGUGUCGAACCUCGAGCCCCCUUCUAGGUAGCCAAGAUUACGGAUGAGUGAAUCUAUUAAUCUUUAUUAUGAAAAGUUGUUAUACCGACUGUGUCAAGUUUAAAUAUAUGAAAUAGUAGCACGGAUGCCAAUGAAUCUGGAACUUGAUGUUCUUGGGCACGUUUCCUAUUGUUAACUCUUUUUCUCCGUAAUUAUUUACCACAUUCUGGUGGAAUCAACGUUGGUAUCGUCAGUUAGGAGAGAAAGAGUUAAGUUCUCUAUGACCACCAUAUCAAUCACUUGGGGCACUCCUUAAAGUUAGGGGGGUGGUCGAAUGGAAGAAAAAAAAGAGGGGGGGGGGAACAACAAAGACCUUGUUUUCCAAUGUUUAUUAUGUUGCUAAUUAUGAACUAUGUAGUCCAGAAAAGUGUCAGAAAUUCAAAAUGCUAAUUAAUAGCGACAGUGUCUUUCGUACCAUUGUUUUGGGGGGAAGGAAAAAGUUUAUUUUUAAAAAUUUAUCGUUUAAAAAGAGCUGUCAAAGAUUUUGAAUAAAUCCGAAGUAUGUUUUGAAAAACAACCAAGCUAACAGUUUACAGAAAAACAAGAUGAAAAAUAAAUGUAUUCCUACUGAAUGUUCAGAUAGGAUGUAAGCUAAAUACUCAGAUUUUAUUUGUCCUGGAAAAUAAAGAGAACAAAAAUAUAUUGGGAUCAAACUCACGACAUUGGGUCUUCAAAAGCCAAGCGCUUAACCACUCAGCCACCGCGCUCCAUUUUGUUCGCAACCUAAAAAAGCUCUAUUUAAAAACAAUGAUAAAGUACAUUUAGAGGGAGGGGACAUCAAACGUACCACGUCACGUGCUCUGUUUUGUCACAUAAAUUAGACAUGGGCGUAUCUAUUCGAUGGCAACCAAGACUCUGCAAAUACCGCAGAGUCGAACUGUAAAUAGAUUGUAGAAGAUUUAUUAUGUUUCGAGUUGAUAACAUUUUCUGACAUUCAGGAAGUUAAUUUAAAAUAUGCAUUGAAUAAGACUGUCGAAUGCUUUCCUUGUGACAUUGUUAUCCUGUUUCUAUAUUAAUCUAUAUCGUAUGUUUAGUGAGCUCAUUAAUAUGAAUAAAGGAAAUACCUGCAUCCUUAUGUGUUCGGCUUAAGAUAACUACAAACUUUAAUUUAGUUGUUACGUAAGAUUAUUGGAUUUCUAGGCAGACUGAGCAUGAGAAGAUGUCAGCGCCAACAAGAAAAUUGAAAGCUGACGGCCUUCCUUCUGAUAUAACCGAAAUAAGACUUAAAACAUUUUUUAGCAACGAGAAUAGCCAAGGUGGUGGACCAGUAGAAGAUGUUCAAAUCUCUGAAGACAGAACUAGUGCGAUUAUAACAUUCAAAGAAGUAGAAGCUGUUGACCGCAUAAUAAAAAGACGAGAGACAGUGAGUAUGUCCAGUGUUUUUGUCAAAGUCAGUCCUUAUUUUGACGAGAUACCACAUGACUGCAAUGACAAUCUGGCAGAUGAAAUAAAAGCUAUCAAAAG